CCCUAUCAACUUUCGAUGGUAAGGUAUUGGCUUACCAUGGUUUCAACGGGUAACGGGGAAUUAGGGUUCGAUUCCGGAGAGGGAGCCUGAGAAACGGCUACCACAUCCAAGGAAGGCAGCAGGCGCGCAAAUUACCCAAUCCCGAUUCGGGGAGGUAGUGACAAUAAAUACUGAUACAGGGCUCUUUUGGGUCUUGUAAUUGGAAUGAGUACAAUUUAAACCUCUUAACGAGGAACAAUUGGAGGGCAAGUCUGGUGCCAGCAGCCGCGGUAAUUCCAGCUCCAAUAGCGUAUAUUAAAGUUGUUGCAGUUAAAAAGCUCGUAGUUGAAACUUGGGUCUGGCUGGCGGGUCCGCCUCACCGCGUGCACUCGUCCGGCCGGGCCUUCCUUCUGAAGAACCUCAUGCCCUUUACUGGGCGUGUUGGGGAAUCAGGACUUUUACUUUGAAAAAAUUAGAGUGUUCAAAGCAGGCCUUUGCUCGAAUACGUUAGCAUGGAAUAAUAAAAUAGGGCGUGCGUUUCUAUUUUGUUGGUUUCUAGAGACGCCGCAAUGAUUAACAGGAACAGUCGGGGGCAUCAGUAUUCAGUUGUCAGAGGUGAAAUUCUUGGAUUUACUGAAGACUAACUACUGCGAAAGCAUUUGCCAAGGAUGUUUUCAUUAAUCAGUGAACGAAAGUUAGGGGAUCGAAGACGAUCAGAUACCGUCGUAGUCUUAACCGUAAACUAUGCCGACUAGGGAUCGGGCGAUGUUCUUUUUCUGACUCGCUCGGCACCUUACGAGAAAUCAAAGU
rnacentral:rRNA from 1 species